UGCAAUGCAUCUUAGUUUCCUUUGGCCA
rnacentral:piRNA from 1 species